GACGAACGCUGGCGGCGUGCUUAACACAUGCAAGUCGAACGUGAUUUUUGUGGAAAUUCUUUCGGGAAUGGAAAUGAAAUGAAAGUGGCGAACGGGUGAGUAACACCUGAGCAACCUACCUUACACAGGGGGAUAGCCGUUGGAAACGACGAUUAAUACCGCAUGAGACCACAGAAUCGCAUGAUAUAGGGGUCAAAGAUUUAUCGGUGUAAGAAGGGCUCGCGUCUGAUUAGCUAGUUGGAAGGGUAAAGGCCUACCAAGGCGACGAUCAGUAGCCGGUAUGAGAGGAUGAACGGCCACAUUGGAACGGAGACACGGUCCAAAAUCCUACGGGAGGCAGCAGUGGGGAAUAUUGCACAAUGGGGGGAACCCUGAUGGAGCGACGCCGCGUGAGCGAAGAAGGUUUUCGAAUCGUAAAGCUCUGUCCUAUGAGAAGAUAAUGACGGUAUCAUAGGAGGAAGCCCCGGCUAAAUACGUG
rnacentral:rRNA from 1 species